rnacentral:rRNA from 1 species
ACGCUCGACACCUAGGAGGCAGCAGUGAGGAAUAUUGGUCAAUGGGCGCAGGCCUGAACCAGCCAAGUAGCGUGAAGGAUGACUGCCCUAUGGGUUGUAAACUUCUUUUAUAUGGGAAUAAAGUUUUCCACGUGUGGAAUUUUGUAUGUACCAUAUGAAUAAGGAUCGGCUAACUCCGUGCCAGUAGCCGCGGUAAUCUGAGCGGGCUGGCAAGGC